UUGAGGAUCAGUUUCUCGAUCUUGUUAGUGUUGAAACAGAAGUGCGCUCAGUUUACAAAGAGCUCUACAGCAUUUACAAAACUACACUCAAAUCCAAGAGUUCAAUAAAUAAGGUGAAUCAGGUUGCUCAGCUGAGGAUCAUCAUAAAACCAAAAUCCUGCAAUGGUGUUGGGCCAUUGUGCACUGCACAACAGGUACCACUAACAACAAAUUACUAUAUUGCU